GGUGCUCCAGCCGGGAUUUUGAACCCGGGAUCACUGCCUUGAAAGGGCAGUAUGCUUGACCGGUCUACACCACUGGAACC
rnacentral:tRNA from 1 species